GUCAAGUCAUCAUGGCCCUUAUGUCCAGGGCUACACACGUGCUACAAUGGGCGGUACAGAGCGAAGCGAGGCCGCGAGGCCGGAGCGGACCGCUGAAAGCCGCCCGUAGUUCGGAUUGAAGUCUGAAACCCGACUUCAUGAAGUUGGAAUCGCUAGUAAUCGCGCAUCAGCAUGGCGCGGUGAAUACGUUCCCGGGCCUU
rnacentral:rRNA from 1 species